GGAAAAUAUGCGGGUCGGAACAUAUUGCUGUAUUGAAUCUUAUAAGUAAUAAAAUUCUCAUUUCUGCCCUAAUUCUUUGAUUUCGAUUCAAGUACAAUACACUAUCUCUCUCGCAUUUUUCAUUCGUGGUAUAGUAUGCAGCCAAGUAUUCUCAAGGGCUUGCUAGAAGCUAUUAAGUGAGUUUCUAUGUUCCUCGCCUUUUAACUUGAUUUUAUAUUUAUAUGCAUUUGUUUUGCUUUCGUGUCUCAUUUACCGUUUAUUUGAAUGCUUUUAAGUAUUCUGUUGGAAGCAACAAGCUAAGUCAGUCCCUAAUCUCCUAUAUUUCAAUUCUCUAUGUGCGAUUUGUGAUCUAGAUAUAUGGAUUAUUAUUUGUUGAUCAGAUAUCCUGCAUGUAGGGCCUUUUGUGUGCUUUUUUGGCAACUCUGCUAAAAUUCUAGAUUCCAUGCUUAAAUUUGUAAAAUUCACCUAAAUGUCAUAAAUAGCAUUCCCUGCAGUUUUCGUUCCCUUGUCUAAAUGUGUCUUAACUCACAUCAAAUAGUCUUGUUCUAAGAAUAAUUUCGUUCGUAAUCAUAUUUGUAGAAUACUAAAAGGGGUUCUUUGAUUUCUUACUUCUUUUUUUAGUAGUUAGUUUUAUUUGAACCAUAUUAAGAUAUAGGUAAAAUAUCAUUACAAUAAUAUAAUAGUUUCAAGUGUGUGCACAAGAAUUUGUAUCCUUGAGAAUGAAAUUCUCCAGUGCGUCAUUUGAUAGCUUUCCUUCUUUUUUAAUCAAAUCUAUUACUAAUACAAAUGACGUUUUGUUCCUACCUUGUUUCAUCCCUACUUGAACUAAUUAUUUCUAGUAUUUGUAUGCAUAUGUGAACUCUCUCUCUCCAAGUUAACUAAUAAUUUGUGAGAGGCUAAGGACUAUAAGGUCAAGUCUAAACCAAUAUGAAAUUUUGUUUUUACAAUAAUGACUAAGCCGGUCGAUGUUUUUAAAUUCUUACUAUUAAAUAAUUAUCUUCACUAUGUGUGAACUUGUUGCUUGCUUAUUAAUUACUUGAUACUUAUUCACAGUGGCUAGUCAAACUACUUGAUUAACUUGCUUAUGUGUUAAUUAUUGACUUCACAUUAAAACCGCCAUCAAAGUUAAAUUAACCAUCAUCGCAACGCCACGCCUCUAAUUAAGGUGGCACACAUUUUUUAAUAACAUUUUCUUUUGGGUGUCUGAGCCUCGAUUUGCCCUGCUUCAUCUUUGCAGCUUCACUAAUUCACCCUCCAAUUGAGCCUUGCAUGAAACUCUCACAAGUUAUGGAGUUAUUGCAUUCUGCGGUAUCCUCAGCUAUCCUUAAACCAGGUCACAUCUCUCCGUUUUUUUCCUUUAAUAGUGAUGUCUUUUGAUUUUGCUUCAGUUUAUUGUAUUGAACCACUGCGCAAGAAAAUUUAAUGCUCUAGAAAUGAUCCUUUAGCGUUUAAAAUUUAUGACUCCAUUUUUUUUAGUUUAAAAUUUGCGAACCACUUCUUUUCUCUUAUCUUUUCAUAGUGUUUUAUUAAGUCUGGGCUAGUUAGAUAUUAUCUUAUGCAAGUUAGUAGAUUUUAAAAAUUAGUAAUUUUUUUUCUCAACUCGUGCAUUCUUUAUGUAAAAAUUGUGGUUUCAUUCGUGUAACAAAGACCUUCUUUACCAUUUGUUCAAAUCAGUUCUUUACUUGCUCUUUCUCUUUUAUGUUUUUUUUUUUUGGUGCGAUAGAUGCAUUUUAUUAAUAUUAAGUCAUACCAGUAGUUGCGCAUCGCUGCGCACAUAAGUUGCCCAAGUUUGCCAAAAUAUUACAAGCAGCAGUAGAUAGUGUCCUAGAUGAACUAGUGGAGGAGUUAUCUAGACUCUACUGAUAUCAUAUUUGCACAAAACGGAGGUGGACUGCCUAGGUAGGCUAUUGCAUCAAAACGGAAUCUCUUUUAUAUUUUUUUUAAUCUACAAGUAUUACAUUACAAAUCCCUUUAAACAGUUUCUUUCUGUAUCGCCUUAAUUGCUUCCUUUCUUCUUUCAUUUUACUAAACAUCUAGAAUAAAAUUAAAUAACAUUGCACGCCUAAUCACUUAGCAGUAAGUAAUUAAUCACUUUGCAUGCUUUGAUCUAAUAAUCCUACUUAGUUUAAAAUUAGAAUAAAAAACACUGUUGUGGACCUCGAAAAAUAUUUAACACCUUCUUUUUGAGGAAAUUUGAACCCUUAUUUGAUCUUUAGUGGCGCAAACUAGUUUAACCAGAGCUAUUUGCAAAUAGGUGCUUAACGCACCUUAAAAAUCGUUAGGUGGUGGCUCCUCUCUUUUAACCCAUUUAAAAGAAUUGUCACAUGUCGAAACCCGCUUUUGCCAGAAAAUGGGGCGCGAUAGCAUGAUGACUCUGUCGGGGAUACUUAGGUUCUUACCCUAACAGAUUUUAUUACUAUGUGAAAAUUUUGAAUUUAUUUUAUUGAAUUUUGGUUGCUUCUUAUUGGAUUUACCUGCUUACUUUCUUUGUUUGUAUCCUUCCAUGUAUAUGAAUUUUCCCCCUUACCCUUUAUUGGAUCAUUUGUCAAAUUUUUAUUUUUAUUUUUCAUGUACAUCUUUUCCCCCUUCCCUUGUUUAAAUUUUAAACCACCUUUAGUUUACUUAAUUUUCAUGCACAUCCUCUUCUCUUUUUUACCUAGGUUAGUUAAAUUUACAUAUUUCAUUUGAUUUCUUUAUCUUUAAGACAUAUUCCGACCAUAUUUUCUUUUCUUAUUUUAAUUAAUCGCAUUCGUCUUGAUUUUAUUAUAUAUGUUUUAUUCUUUCCAAGUAUUUUCAUGCCUACAAGUUUAAUUUAUUCGUUAUGUGUUCCUACUUUCAUAACUGUCAUACCACUCAUAUUUCCUCCACUUGAAAAUUUUACAUUUGCACACAUGUAGCGGUUGCGUAUUUUCACGACCGUGCACUUCUAAAAUAUACCCUCUUAAGGGAAAGUUUCGUGGGUAGGCUCGUCAAUGGUGGAGCCUUUGGUCUAAACAGCCUAUUCUUGUUCCAUAACCUGACAUGUUUUUUAGAAAAAAAUUAUUUUUUUAUCAAACUAGGUUAUCUUAAUAUCUUUUGCAUAUUAAGUCUGACAGUAUGAUCAUUCCCAAGUCCAAAGGGGUCUAUGACCCUAAAAGGACGCCAUCACAACUUAUUUGUAUUUUUGAGAAAUAAAUAUGCCUAAAUAUUGCUUAUUUACUGUCAAAAAUAGGGAAAGGCUAUAAACUAACCUUUUGUGAAUGAGGCAAUCAUGAAUCAAUCUAAGGCUUAACAUGGUCUGGUAAAUUCACGAUCCACUGAGGAUUGAUAGAGAGAUUUGGAUACUCAUGGGCAAUAAGAAACACACAAAGUGUCGGGACAUCUACCUUCGCUAAUGGAAGUCAAAUCACUCAUAGAACUUAUCGAAGCAAACAUGGCCUUUUCGGACAAAACGAGGAUAGUAUUCAGGUUUGGGGAUGUUGAAGUGAUACCAUUGCUAGAGAAAAUUGAGGUUAUGUUGAAAGCACACGUUUGCUAUAGAGGAAAACAAUGGGAUAAGGAUGAGGUGAUCAUUCUGAAAAAUCAUCGCAAGAAUUUUGCGAAAAGAUUGGGCGGUAAGAAGGCAAAAUAAUAACACAUGUAACAAAGUACAAGAUUAUCUUCAAUACCUAUAUGGUAGAUUCGUUCAUGGGUUUCCUCAAGAAAUAUACAACAUAGAAUCCCAAUGUUCCGAUUCAUGAAACCAGAAGAAGAUUUUCACAUUCGUUGUUUGUUUUUUGGGGUUAGUGUUUUUUUUUCGAGGAGCAAAAGAAGAAAUUCACACUCAAUAUUCCGAUGGUAGCUAAUGCAAUGUUCAAUGGGAUAAUUGUAAACAUACCACAAUGGUAUCUAUGAUUUUGGCUGACAUUUAUCUAUAUCUGAGUCGCUACAAGGAUAUUGCUAGACAUUUCGAGGCGUGUAACUUGUUACUUCAACUUUGUCUAAUUGAAUAUCUCCAAAAGGUUAACGAAAAUCAGACACUUUGCAAGCCAACUGGGGAUGACUAUAUUCUGUCACACGACUUAAGGGUUGCUUCGAGGGUCAAAAAGAUCAAAUGGCCCCCUAUGUUAAAGGUUGAGUUAGGCUACUAGACUGUUUUAUAGAAGACUCGAUUCAAUAGAUGUUUGACUGGUUUUCCUCCAUAUAUAUUGUGGUUUAUGUCAAUGAGUCAACAUACUUAGUUUUUAUAGGAGUUCGAGGCCUUCAGCCCUACUUGCUAAUAAGGAUUUUAAGAAAAACUGGGAGCAUGCAGACCAUACCAAGGGUAAGAAACAUGGACCGCUACAUAAUUGACUAUAAAAGUGAUAAGAUCAUGUUCGUCAAGGACAUUAUCAAGAUGCGGAGAAAGAAGAAAUCCAUCAAAAUUAAUUACGGUGGAUCUUUGGCAUAAAUCACUAAAUAUGGAGGGAAAACAGUCAAAUAUCUAUUGGACCGAUUUUUCUGUCAAACGAUCUAGUAGCCUGAUCCAACCUUCAAUAUCGGGGGGUUGUUUUAUUUUCUUGAUCCCUAAAGUAACCCUCAAGUCAUGUGAUAAAAUGACUACCCAUCGCGAUCUCGUUGUUGCACGAUCGCAAAACAUAAAAAUCCACCGCCUGAAAAUCUUUUCUCAGCGAUCGCGACAGGACUCACGCGAUCAUGAAAGCCAACAAACGCCCCUCCUACGAGAACGCGAGCAACCUAUUCACGUAUGCAAAGGCCAAAUCCUCUAGCCUAACUCUUGCUCUUCGGGAAUGCAAGCUCUCCAUGCGAACGCGAUGCCUAGAUCCUCAACACUACGUAAUCGUGACUCCUCAUCCAUGAUGGACAGCCUACCCCCGCACAAAAACAUUUCCCAGCGAUUGCGUGACUCUGCUCCACCAUCGCAAAGCACACCAGCACACCAGCAAAUCAAUUGCUGCAAACUCAACCGAAAUGGCAUGAAUCAUACUUAAUUCCCUUGGGACCCUGUCCAAAUUAUUCCAACAAGUCCAUAUACCUUAUACAAACUUGUCCCAAGACUCGAAACAUUAAAAAAAAUAAUAAAACCAAGAAUCGAAGAUCAAAUCCAUCUCUUAACUGAUCAACUUUAAACUUCACCCACAACAGGUUUGCAAAGUGUAUGAUAUCCGUUAACUUUUUGGAGAUGUUCAAUUAACCAAAUUUGAAGCAACAAGUUAUACCCCUCGAAAUGUCUAGCCCCAUCCUUGCAGCGACUCAGAGACCGAUAAAUAUCAUCCAAAAUCAUAGGCAUAUAGUGCCAUGUUAACCAUCUAUCCCAUUGAACUUUGCAUCCACUACCAUAAUAAGUCCGUGUGAAUUUCGUCUUUUGCUCCUCGAGGAAAAACCACUAAUCCCAGAAAAUAAACAAUGAAUGUGAAAAUCCUCUUCUAGUUCCAUGAAGCGAGACACUGGAUUAUAUGUUUUAUAUUAUUCGAGCAUACUCAUGACCAUAAAAAAUUUUGGACUUCAUCACAUGGGUCAUUAUUUUUCCUCCUCGCAAGCCAAGCUUUUCGCAAAAUUGUCACAGUAAGGGAUUUUUCGGAAUGAUCUCCUCAGCCUUUUCCCACUUUUUAUUCCUCCAUAUCAAAAUUGCACGUUCAACAUAACCUCUCCCCCCUGCCCCCCCCCCCCCAAUUUCCUCCAACUAUGGUAUCAAUUCAACAUCCCCAAACCUGAAUACCAUCUUCUUUUUGUCCCAAAAGGCAUGGCUGUUUCGAUGAGUUCUUUGCAUGAUUUGACUUUCAUUAGCGAAGGUAGAUUCCCCAACACUUUGUGCACUUCAUCUUACGAAUGAGUACCCAAAUCUUUCUACCAAUCCUUCAAUAGAUCGAGAAUGUACGAGACCAAGCUAAACCUUGGAUAAACCCUGGAUUGUUAAAAGAUUAGUUUAUAUUCUUCCCUUAUUUUUGAGAGUCAACAUUUAGGCCCAUUUAUUCCUCAAAAUGCAAAUAAGUUGUGAUUGUGUCCUUUUUGGAUUGUAGAGCCCUUUAGACUUAGACAUGGUCAUACUGGAAGCCCUAAUAUGUCAAGGGUAUUAAGUCAACUAUCCCCAGAGGAGUCGAUAUGCUAUUGCACCCCAUUUUUCUUGCGAAUGUGGAUUUCAGCAUGUGACAACUCUUUUAAAUGGGAUAAAAGAGAGGAGUCGCUGCCUAAUAAUGUUUAAGAUACGUUAGGACACAUAUUUGCAAAUAACUCUAGUUAAACUAGUAUGCGCCACCAAAGAUUGGGUAAGGGUUCAUAUUACCUCGAAAAGUAGGUGUAAGCACUUGUUGAGGUCCAUAACUGUGGUUUACGUCUAGAUUUCAAACUAAUAAGUAGGAUUAUGCGAUUAAAGCCUACAAAAAUGAUUAAUUAUUACUUCUAAAUAUAGCUAGAUGAUUAAUCAUGCCAGUUGAUUAUUGAUUAAACUAUGUGAGGAGUGUUAAAAUGAAUGAAGUGAAGAAAAUAAUUUGGAUUAAACUUCAUUAAUAAAAGUGGGUUUGAAAACAAUCCUUAGAGGAAUGAAACAGCAUAUACAAUUUGGAAAAAAGAAAUAAAGACUUUCGUUGAUAAAGAAAUUUUUGUGACAACCCGAUAGGUCAUUUUAAAUACUAGUCUUAAUUUCAGUAUUUUAGGACCUCUCAUAGCUUCAUUUGAUGUUUAUUAAUUUGCGUGCAUCAUCCGUAUCAUUUUUCGGAAAGCUUUUACGUAAAAUUUUGAAGAAAAUAUAAUUUUUGAUUUAAAAAUAAGAUUAGAGUUGAACACGGUUAACAUUCUUGGUAAAUGAUCAUGGAUCAGUGUUUUGACAUUUUCAGUAGGUUUGUAUGAUAUUUUUGAACUUAUACGCAUAUUUGAUUGGGGUCCGAGGUGACCCGAGCGUAUACGACACAUUAUGUAAAAGAUUGUAAAAAUGAGUUUUAAAUUUGAAAUCUUGAGUUUUGAUGAUCGAUUCUUGUUAUUUGGUGUUAUUUUAUGAUUUGAGGUAGAGAGCAAGUUUGUAGGAUGUUAUUACACUUGUAUGCAUGUUCGAUGUGGAGCCCGAGGGGAUCGGGUAAAAUUUUGGAGGUGUUACAGAUAAUUUUGGGACUCCUGGUGCCCAACAGUUGCUGGUGCAAGCCUGCAGAUCUCGCAUUUGCGAGCUUCGCUUUUACGGUCAUGUGAUCGCAUUUGCGAAAGGCACUUGGAAUGGGGAACUUCGCAUUUGCGAAGAAGGAACCGUAUUUGCGAAGGCUGAGAAAUCACAAAUGCGGCUGGAGUCUCGCAUUUGCGACUCUGGCAACUUUGGGGAAGCUUCGCAAAAGCGAAGCUUAGUUCGCAUUUGCAGAGGGAGGGACCAUCGCAAAUGUGAAGCUUUUGUCGCAUUUGUGACAUUUGUGCAUCUGAUGCACUGAUCGCAUUUGUGAUCAAUGUUUCGCAUUUGGGGACUUUGCAAUUGCAAACAAAAGUUCUCAAUGUUCGCAAUUGCAACGUCUACAGCUGGGUAAAAGAGAAAACAAUCGGGACUUAGCUCUUACACCAUUUCUCAAACCUAAACACUCUAGAGGCGAUUUUUGAAGAACAAUUUCUCCUCAAAUUCAUUGGUAAGCAACUCUAAUUCAUUUUUCAUUAAUCCCCCAUUACUUUUCAUGAAUUUUUAACAUCAAAUCUAUGAAUUUUAUGGUAGAAAUUAGGGGUUUGGGUAGAAUUUAGAAAUUUUAUAAAAUUGAGAUUUAAACCUCAAAGUGAGGUCGGAUUUCGAAACAAAUCAUAUAACCAGGCUCGAGCGUAAAUUGGUAAUCAAAUUUUGGUCCGAAUUUCAGAAUUCAACCAAGCGGCCCCGGGGUUAACUUUUGUUGGUUUCUUAAAAAAUGAUCAAAAUUAAACCUUUUUUUAUUCGUGGGUAGUUUCUAAAACUUAUUUUGAAGUGUUUGAUUGAUAAUUGGCUAGAUUUGAUUGGUUUGGAGGCUUGUUCGAAGGGCAAGGCCGUGAUUGAUUGUUGAUUUGUGUUGCAGAAAGAGGUAAGUGUCGUGAUUAACUUUGACUUGAGAGAAUUAGGACUUGUUUGGUCUAUUUUCUACAUGAAUUAUGUGUGGAGACUGCGUAUAUGUAAGGUGACGAGUAUAUACAUGUUUUCAUGGGUUAAAGCAUGAGGGAGGAAUUUGUCUCAUUUGUACCAUGUUGUUUCAUUUGCUAUGCUUUCCAUGUCUUAGUUAGAUUAUUUAUUCUUCAAUUGUUCGCUUACGUAUUUAUUGCUCAUGUUGAGGAUGUGGUGAUAUUUGAAAGUUGAAUUUGAUUAUUCUACCACCAUGGUUGAAGUUAAAAUUUGCUUACCACCUUGCUUAAUAAUUUGGUUUAUUAUUAUUACUUGGUGAGGAAGAGUGAAAAGCACGAAAGGUGUUGUCGUGCCAUAUUUAUAUCAUUACUUGAGUGAACGUAAGGUUAAAACAUGAAGGGUGAUGCCGUUCCAUUGCAUUUAUAUUAUCAUGUGAGGAAGAGAGUAAAAGAACGAAGGGUGAUGUCGUGCACUUGCUUGACAUAAUCAUAUCAUGUGAGGAUGAGAGUAAAAGCAUGAAGGGUGAUACCAUGCACAUAUUUUAUUUACAUUAUAUAGUAAGGAUGAGAGCAAAGGCAUGAAGGGUGAUACCGUGCAAUUUGAUUAUUUCAUUGAUUUUACUUGAUACUUGGAUUCUGGAUUUAACUUGGCAAUUUCGUUGCUUAUUUUGGAAAGAAACUUACUUGGUGAUUCUGUACUUGUUGAUCCUGUUGUUGCCCUUUUCAUAUGCCCCCCAUCCCGUUAUUAUUUUAAAUGCUUUAGUAGGUGUCUUGUCUUAGCCUCGUCACUACCUCGUUUGGGUUAGGCUCGAUACUUACUGAGUAUAUUGGAUUGGUUAUACUCAUACUACACUUCUGUACUUCUUGUGUAGAUUUUGAUGUUGGUACUAGUGGAGUCCCGAGAGGUACGCAACAGCUACCAGUCAGUGAUUCGAGGUAGAGCUACACUCCAUUUGCAGACCCUGGAGUCACUUUCCUAUUUCAUGUAUUGUUUCUAUUUUGUUUCGGACAAUGUUGUAUUUUUUUCAAACCUUAUAUUUAGUUGGAUCUAGACGUUCAUGUACUUGUGACACCAAAUUCUGGGGU
rnacentral:lncRNA from 1 species